rnacentral:rRNA from 1 species
GACGAACGCUGGCGGCGUGCUUAACACAUGCAAGUCGAACGGAAAGGCCCUGCUUUUGUGGGGUGCUCGAGUGGCGAACGGGUGAGUAACACGUGAGUAACCUGCCCUUGACUUUGGGAUAACUUCAGGAAACUGGGGCUAAUACCGGAUAGGAGCUCCUGCUGCAUGGUGGGGGUUGGAAAGUUUCGGCGGUGGGGGAUGGACUCGCGGCUUAUCAGCUUGUUGGUGGGGUAGUGGCUUACCAAGGCUUUGACGGGUAGCCGGCCUGAGAGGGUGACCGGCCACAUUGGGACUGAGGUACGGCCCAGACUCCUACGGGAGGCAGCAGGGGGGAAUAUUGCACAAUGGGCGGAAGCCUGAUGCAGCAACGCCGCGUGCGGGAUGACGGCCUUCGGGUUGUAAACCGCUUUCGCCUGUGACGAAGCGUGAGUGACGGUAAUGGGUAAAGAAGCACCGGCUAACUACGUG